AUCCUGAAGAAGCAGCAUCAAGCUCUGUGUUUUUCCUGCUGUUGGUUGUCGUUCUGGUUUCUGGAGUUUUACUGAUUAUUCUCCUGCUGCUGAUUCUGUGUUGCUACAGAAAGUCAAAAACUUCAAGCCUCAGCAGGUCUCAGAGGACCAAUCAGAGCCCAGCUACAGACCACAUGAUCAACCAGGGUGAAACUCAAAACAGACAUUACGCUGCUCUUCUUUAUGGUGAUUCUUGUCUCUAUGAAACAAUCAGAGGCUCUGGACAACUGAAACAAGGGACGAAUGAUGAACCAGAGGAGAGCAUUUACCAAAAUGUGACGAUUGAAACAGCUGCAGGUACUUCAUGUACAACAGACCAUGUAGUACAAUAUGAAUAAAACAUCUGCACGGACAGAACCAGGGGAACGGAUGACGACAUGAAAAACCACAUCUUUGUCUUUUUGAGUAAUUAUUGUGUGAACUUCUUCUUUCCUGAUAUGAGUGUUUUGUAGUUAACCCAUGAAAAGAUCAUUUAAAGGAAAUAGGUCAUGUGUCUUUAAAGGUUUUACUUGGUGAAAUUAGUCUAGAUUAUUACAUAUAUUCUUAUUUAAAUGUUGGUAUUGAGUGUUUACUGUACAUUUUUUUUUUCCUCACUUUGUUUUUUAAAGCUUUUGUAGAAAUCUUUGAAUGGAGGCUGGUUUGAAAAGCAGAAAAAAGCAGUUUGACGUCUUUGAGCUUCAAUGCGUUGGUGAUCUUCUCUUUUGCUUCUGAUAAAAAAAAAAAUCUUUACACAUUUAUUAUCUUUUAUUGAACAACAUUUCUCCAACAAUUAUGUUUAUUUUUGUCAUUUUCAAAGGUUUACCAGAUGCGGUUUGUAUUUUAUCUUCA